rnacentral:rRNA from 1 species
UACGGAGGGUGCAAGCGUUAUCCGGAUUCACUGGGUUUAAAGGGUGCGUAGGUGGGCUAGUAAGUCAGUGGUGAAAUCUCCGGGCUUAACCCGGAAACUGCCAUUGAUACUAUUAGUCUUGAGUACCAUGGAGGUGAGCGGAAUAUGUCAUGUAGCGGUGAAAUGCUUAGAUAUGACAUAGAACACCAAUUGCGAAGGCAGCUCACUACACAGCCAUUGACGCUGAGGCACGAAAGCGUGGGGAUCAAACAGG